rnacentral:rRNA from 1 species
UACGUAGGUGGCAAGCGUUGUCCGGAAUUAUUGGGCGUAAAGCGUGCGCAGGCGGUUUUGUAAGCCAGGUGUGAAAUCCCCGGGCUCAACCUGGGAAUGGCAUUUGGGACUGCAAGGCUGGAGUGCGGCAGAGGAGACUGGAAUUCCUGGUGUAGCAGUGAAAUGCGUAGAGAUCGGGAGGAACACCAGUGGCGAAGGCGGCCUUCUGGACCAAUACUGACGCUCAUGCACGAAAGCGUGGGGAGCAAACAGG